rnacentral:rRNA from 1 species
CACGUAGGGUGCGAGCGUUGUCCGGAAUUACUGGGCGUAAAGAGUGUGUAGGCGGUGCUCUAAGUUCGGUGUGAAAUCUCCUGCUUAACUGGGAGGGUGCGCCGGAAACUGGAGUGCUUGAGCGUGGGAGAGGAAAGCGGAAUUCCUGGUGUAGCGGUGAAAUGCGUAGAUAUCAGGAGGAACACCUGUGGUGUAGACGGCUUUCUGGACCAUUGCUGACGCUGAGACACGAAAGCGUGGGUAGCAAACAGG